UACGUAGGGAGCAAGCGUUGUCCGGAAUCAUUGGGCGUAAAGAGCGCGUAGGCGGUCCGGUAAGUCGGUUGUGAAAACUGGGGGCUCAACCCUCAGAGGCCGACCGAUACUGCCGGGCUAGAGUCCGGAAGAGGCGGGUGGAAUUCCUGGUGUAGCGGUGAAAUGCGCAGAUAUCCGGAGGAACACCGGUGGCGAAGGCGGCUUCCUGGACCGACACUGACGCUGAGGCGCGAAAGCUAGGGGAGCAAACGGG
rnacentral:rRNA from 1 species